UACAGAGGGUGCAAGCGUUAAUCGGAAUUACUGGGCGUAAAGGGCGCGUAGGCGGUCAGGUAAGUCGGAUGUGAAAUCCCCGGGCUCAACCUGGGAAUUGCAUUCGAUACUGCCUGGCUAGAGUGUGGAAGAGGGAAGCGGAAUUUCCGGUGUAGCGGUGAAAUGCGUAGAUAUCGGAAGGAACACCAGUGGCGAAGGCGGCUUCCUGGUCCAACACUGACGCUGAGGCGCGAAAGCGUGGGGAGCGAACAGGAUUAGAUACCCUGGUAGUCCACGCUGUAAACGAUGAGAACUAGAUGUUGGGAGGUAUAACCUCUCAGUGUCGCAGCUAACGCAUUAAGUUCUCCGCCUGGGGAGUACGGCCGCAAGGUUGAA
rnacentral:rRNA from 1 species